AUUGAACGCUGGCGGCAUGCCUUACACAUGCAAGUCGAACGGCAGCACGGGAGCAAUCCUGGUGGCGAGUGGCGAACGGGUGAGUAAAGUAUCGGAACGUGCCCAGUCGUGGGGGAUAACGUAGCGAAAGUUACGCUAAUACCGUAUACGAUCUAUGGAGGAAAGCGGGGGAUCGCAAGACCUCGCGCGAUUGGAGUGGCCGAUAUCAGAUUAGGGAGUUGGUGGGGUAAAGGCCCCCCAAGCCGACGGUCUGUAGCUGGUCUGAGAGGACAACCAGCCCCACUGGGACUGAGACACGGCCCAGACUCCUACGGGAGGCAGCAGUGGGGAAUUUUGGACAAUGGGCGAAAGCCUAAUCCAGCCAUGCCGCGUGCAGGAUGAAGGCCUUCGGGUUGUAAACUGCUUUUGUACGGAACGAAAAGGACUGCCCUAAUACGGUGGUCCCAUGACGGUACCGUAAGAAUAAGCACCGGCUAACUACGUGCCAGCAGCCGCCGUAA
rnacentral:rRNA from 1 species